UUGUGCAGUGCUCCACUCAAAAAGGUGACAAUCAGAUAAAUUAAAAUAUAAUUGGCACUUUUUUGAGUGUAGUAAUUCACAA
rnacentral:pre_miRNA from 1 species